CUGAUGAUCUGUUGGUGUUAGAGAAUAAUCAGCAGAUUAAGCACUAAUGAGCAAAAAGGUAUGUAGGGCAAUGCACGGCUCUAAACAAAGGAAAGUCAUUCAGUUCUUUGGCACCGGAAAGUCUUAGCAAGUGUUUUCCUCCAAUUCAUCAGCCAAACAAAUGGAAGGAGUAAUUAGAAGCAAAGCAGAGGCUUUGGCAGCAGGCUCUCAUUUUCUAAACUAGAAGUAAACAAUCAUGUCUAAAUCCUAUUGCUGCUCCAACUACAACUGCUUUAACUUCAUGAUAUAUGCUGGUCUCUGUCCUUCAGUUCACCUUGACUCAUCUCAGGAACACACUCUCAUCUGCAGUGCUGCCCUGAGCCCUUCAGUGCUCCCUGGUUCCCUGGCUACCUGAAGCAUUUGUCUCCUGAACAACAAUCAAAUCAGGAAGUUUUCCAGGACUGCGUUUGAAGGACUUGAAAAUUUGCUCUAUCUGUACCUGUACAAGAAUGAAAUUCAUGCACUAAAAUAAGCAAACAUUUAAGGGGUUUACAUCCUUGGAAUAGCUGUGCCUGGAUUUCAACCCUCUGGUUUGUGACUGCAAUUUAAAGUGGCUGAGGAAAAUUUUACAAGACUAUGCCCAAAAUGGCCCAGCUCAGGUGUCUGCUAUUUGUGAAUCCCCCCGAAGACUUCAUGUCUCUGUUGCUUCAGUAACACUUAAGGAAUUUAAUUAUGAAAGUGCUUGAAUCACCUUUGCACCUCAUGAUGUGGAGGUAACAUCAGGAAAUACUGUCUACUUCACUUGCCGAGCUGAAGGAAACGCUAUAGCCAAAAUCACCUGGAUAGAUAAUAAGUAAAUACUGUACUGAACAUGGGCAUGUGUUGUAAUUCUCAUUUCAGUAAUCCUUUUGUCUUACUUCAGAUCCUUUGUCUAGAGAAAUAUUACCAGAAUUAUUAGAAUUUAUUAGAGACAAAAAUGCCUCUUAGCUGUUAGCUUUUUAAAAAUUUUAUUAUUUUUUUAUUUUAUAAAAUAAGAAUAAAAAUGAUGAUACAGAAUUCAAAACAAAAUAAUAGGAGAUUAACAAUGGUUAAUAUAUGGUAUAUUGUUACCUUCAAAGUAGUUUCUUAGAUUGUAAUAUGUAGACAUGAAAGAUUGAUCAAAUAAUGAAAGCACAAAUGAUAGAUACUGAUAGAUUAUAUUACUAGUCUUUAUUAGUUGAUCACAAACAAUAUAUAUAUAUAUAUAUAUAUAUAUAUAUAUAUAUAUGUGUGUGUAUGUAUUUUUUCCUUCUUUCUUUUCUCUUUCCCCUCAUCUCAGUUGUUUUUCCCUUUUGAGCAGUUUCUUCCUCUUUCACUUUCACAAUAUCUGUAAUGUAUUUUUGGCUCUUAUUUAUUCUUUCAGUUUUUUACACUAGAGAAACAAUACGAUGUUUACACAUGCAAUUCGAAUUUAUUUUACCUGUUAGUUUUUUUUUAAUUAAAUAAUUUUUUAAUUAAUAAGGGAGAGGAUGAGAUAAAAGGGGACAUAACAACAUAACAAUACAGGUUAAACUAUGACACUUUCAGCAACCUAGUGCUUCACCACCAAAUAACCCGACUUAAUAGUAGUUACCAUAGAGUCUUUUUCUUUGAAAUAUUUGAAUAUAACUUCAUAUGCUAUAGCAUCAAACAUAUCAAGACUGUGUAACACCAUUCAAGUGAUGAAAGCAUUGUAGAGUAUUUAGAACCAGCUAACAGAAUAAAUCAUCAAUUGUUUCUAUAUUAUCUCUUUGCCUAUAACAAUACUUGUUUAUACUACCACAUACGAUAAAAUCCAGCAAGUUACAACAUAAUAAAAUCAGUGAGAGACAGAAGAGCCAUAGUUUGGUGUGGCUUUAAGACAAGAUGGUAUUAAAUCAGCACUAGCUAUCAUGAUGUCUUAUUUUCUUCAAAGUAGCUGUUCUUUGCAUCACAGGCCAUAAUAUCAAACAGCCCAGAAUAAAGCCAUUCCAAUUAAUGAGUGAAUAUUUUAUAAGGCUUCAAGGCCACAUAACGGGGAAUCAUGGUUAUCACGUACUUUUAUAUAUUUGGAUCAUUUCCUACACUAGGGAAACUAUUCGGUGUUCACAGAUGCGAGUUUGAUUUAGUUCACUUAUGAGUAUGGUUUCAAGCUGUGCCCAUUUAUUGAUAAAUACCUCAAUGUGAUCCUUCUUUAUAGCUGAGUAGUACUCCAUUGUAUAGAAAUACCACAGCUUUUUUAUCCAUUCCUCAGUUGAUGGAUAUUUGGGUUGUUUCCAAGAUCUGGCAAUUACAAAUCGUGCUGCUAUAAACAUAGGUGUGCAUAAUCACUGUGGUAUGAUGCUUUCAGUUCUUCUGGGAAGAUGUCUAGAAGUGGAAUAGCUGGAACAAAUGGGACUUCCAAUCCCAGCUUUUUGAGAAAUCUCCAGACUGACCUCCACAAAGGUUGUACCAUUGUACACUCCCACCAACAGUGUAGGAGAGUUCCUUUUUCCCCACAGCCUCUCCAGCACUUGUUGUUGUUGGUUUUCUUGAUCCUGGCCAUCCUUUCAGGAGUGAGAUGGAAUCUCAGUGUGGUUUUAAUUUGCAUUUCCCUAAUAACCAAUGAUGAUGAACAUUUUUCAUGUAUUUAUUUGCCAUUUGUAUUUCUUCCUCUGAGAAGUGUGUAUUCAUCUCAGAUGCCCAUUUUUGGAUUGGGUCUUUGAAUUUUGGGGGUCUGUUUUUUUUUAAUUCUUUAUAUGUUUUAGACAAAAGUCCUUUGUCUGAGGGGGAAUUCACUAAGAUCCUUUCCCAAUUUGUGGGUUUUCUUUUCGCUAUGCUGGAGAUUUUUUUUGAUCUUACUUACAGAAAGUUAAAUUAAAAAGUUACUUACAGAAACUUUUUAAUAAGAGGUGGUCCCAGUUAUUGAUUCCGGGAAGUAUUUCCCAUGCAGUUUGAGUCCUGUUCAUGAAUUCUCUACCUACCCCUAUGUCUUCAAGGUUUCUACCUAAUUUGUCUUCCAAUAGAUUUAGUGUUUCUGUUUUAAUAUUCAGAUCUUUGAUCCAUUUAGAUUUUAAUUUAGUACAUGAUGAUUCGCUUGGGUUGAGUUUUAGUUUUUGGCAUUGGAGAGCCAGUUUUUCCAACACCAUUUAUUAAAAAGACUGUUGUUUUUCCAGUGAACCUGCUUGGCUCCUUUAUCGAAGAUAAGGUGGUUGAGUGUGUUUGUAGAUGUGGUUGUAUCUUCUAAUCUAUUCCAUUGAUCCUCUGCUCUGUUGUGAUUCCAGUACGAUGUUGAUUUUACUACUGUUGCUUUGUAGUAUAACUUCAAGUCAGGGAUUGUGAUGCCUCCUGCCUUGCCUUUGGUGCUUAGAAUUGCCUUUGAUAUUCUAGGUCUCUUCAGGUUCCAGAUGAACCAUAGGAGUGAUUUCUCUAGAUCUAUAAGGUAUGUUGAUAAUAUUUUUAUUGGAGUUGCAUUGAAUCUGUAUAACAGUUUUGGGAGAAUGGCCAUUUUCACAAUGUUUAUUCUUCCUAUCCAUGAACAUGGGAUGUCUUUCCAUUUUCUGAGAUUAUCUUCAAUUUAUUCUUUCAGUGUAUUAUAAUUUUCCCUGUAUAGGUCUUUCACUUCUUUCAUAAGAAUAAUUCCUAAAUAUUUCAUUUUUUUGCUUGCUAGUGUGAAGAGUGUGGCUUCUCUUAUUUCUCUCUCUGUGAUUUUGUUGUUAGUGUAUAAGAAUGUUAUUGAUUUCUGAGUAUUGAUUUUGUACCCAGCUACAUUACUGAAUUUAUUUAUUAUAUCUAAGAGUCUUUCAAUGGAGUUUAGGGGGUCUUCUAUGUAGAGUAUCAUGUCAUCUGCAAAUAAUGACAAUUUAACUUCUUCUUUUCCUAUCUUUACCCCUUUUAUUUUUCUCUCUUGUCUAAUUGCUCUGGCUAGUACUUCCAGUACUAUAUUAAAUAGGAGAGGUGAUAAAGGACAUCCUUGUCUUGUGCCUGAUUUUAAAGUAAAGGCUUUCAAUUUUUGGCCAUUUAGUAUGAUACUGGCUGUUGGUUUGUCAUAGACAGCCUUUAUUAUAUUGAAGUAAAGACCAUCAAUUCUAAUUCUCUGUAACGUUCUUAUCAUGAAAGAAUGUUGGACCUUAUUGAAGGCUUUUUCUGCAUCUAUGGAAAUGAUCAUGUGAUUCUUACUUUUAGCUUUAUUGAUAUGGUGGAUUACAUUUAUUGAUUUACAUAUGUUGAACCAUCCCUGCAUGCCUGGGAUGAAUCCCACUUGGUCAUGGUGUAUAAUCUUCUUGAUGAUUUGCUACAUCCUAUUUGUCAAUAUUUUAUUGAGGAUUUUUGCAUCUGUGUUCAUUAGGGAGAUUGGUCUGUAGUUCUCUUUUUCAGUUGGGUCUUUCUCAGGUUUUGGUACUAGAGUAAUAUUUGCUUCCAGGAAUGACUUGGGAAGGAUUGCUUCCGUUUCAAUUUCAUUGAAGAGUUUGAGGAGUGUCGGUAUUAGGUCUUCUUUGUAUUUCUUGUAGAAUUCUGCAGUGAAUCCAUUUGGGCCUGGGCUCUUCUUUGUAGGUAAGGAAUUAAUUACAUGUUCAAUUUCAUUGAUAGAGAUUGGGUUAUUCAGCAGUUUUACAUCCUCUUGAUCUAGCUUUGGUACUUCAUAUGUUUCUAAGAAUCUAUUUCUUCUGUGUUAUCAAACAUUUGAGAGUAGAGGUUUUCAAAAUAGGUGUUGAUGAUCUUCUGUAUUUCUAUUGAGUCUGUAGUGACUUCACCUUUUUCAUUUCAUAUUCAAUGGAUUUGAGCUCUUUCUUACCUUUUUAAAAUAAGGUUGGCUAGGGGUUUAUCAAUUUUAUUUAUUCUUUCAAAGAACCAACUUUUUGAUUCCUUGAUUCUUUGGAUUGUUUUCUUAGUCUCUAUUGCGUUGAUUUCUGCUCUGAUUUUUAUAAUUUCCUCUCUUCUUUUGGCUUUGGGCUUGACUUGCUCUUCUUUUUCUAGAUGUUUGAUGUGUAGCAUCAUGUUGUUUAUUUGUAUUCGUUCUGUUUUCCUGAUGUGGGAGCUCAGUGCAAUAAAUUUUCCUCUGAGAAUGGCUUUCAUUGCAUCCCAUAGAUUCCGGUAAGUUGUAUCUGUAUUUUCCUUUGUUUGUAGGUAUUGCUUAUUUUUUUUUAAUUUCCUCUCUGACCCACUGGUUACUCAGGAGUGUGUUAUUCAGUUUCCAUGUGUUUGCAGGAUUUUUGCAGUAUCUUUUAUUGUUAAUUACUAAUUUCAUGGCGCUAUGGUCCGAUAGCAUGCAAGGGAUAAUUUCAACUCUUUUGCAUUUAUUUAAAUAUGUUCUGUGAGUUAAUAUAUGGUCUAUUUUAGAGAAUGACCCAUGUACUGCUGAGAAGAAUGUGUAUUCUGUCAUUGUUGGGUGGAAUACUCUGUAUAUGUCUAUGAAGUCCAUUUGUUCACAGGUGCAAUUCAGUUCUUUUAUUUCUUUGUUGAUUUUCUGUUUGAUCUGUCCAUUGGUGUCAAUGGUGUUUUAAGAUCUCCUGUCAGAAUUGUGUUACUGCUGAUUUGGUUUUUCAUUUCUGUUAGUACUUGUUUUAUAUAAUGGGGUGCUCUGGAAUUUGGUGCAUAUAUAUUUAAGAUAGUUAUCUUUUCCUCUUGGAGUUUUCCCCUAACCAGUAUGUAGUGACCUUCUUUAUCCUUUCUGAUCAUUAUUGGCUUGAAGUUGACUUUGUCUGCCAAAAGAAUAGCUACCCCCGCUUUUUUUGGGGGGGGGUCCUGUUGCAUGGAGUGUUGUUUUCCAUCCUUUGACUUUGAGUCUGUGAGUAUCCUUUUGAGUUAGGUGGGUUUCUUGUAGACAGCAUAUGGUUGGAUUUUGUUUUUUGAUCUAUUCUGCCAGUCUGUUUCUUUUAAUUGGUGUAUUGAGACCAUUUACAUUAAUAGUAAGAACUGCUAUAAAUUGGUUUAUUGUUGACAUAUUAUCUUUCUGCUGUUGCAUGUUUAUUUUUCUGCUCUGUUCAACUAUCUGCUCUGUUUAGUGGUUUUUUCCUAAAUGUAUCUAGGCUGUCUUUCAGUAUUCUUUGCAGGGUUGGCUUGUUGUUCAUGAAGUUUUUCAGGUGAUCUUUUUCAUGGGAGUAUCAUAUUUCUCCAUCCAAUUUGAAGGACAGUUUUGCAGGGUACAUCAGCAUAGGUUGGAAAUCAUUUUCCUUUAGGAUCUGAAAUACAUCACUCCGUGCUCUUCUUGACUUUAUUGUUUGUGCUGAGAAGUCUGCUGUAUUUCUGAUAAGUUUUCCUUUAUAGGUGAUCUGUCUUUUUUCUCUGACAGCCUUUAAUAUUCUAUUCUUUUUUUCAAUUUCUGGGAUGGUCAUUAUUAUAUGUCUGGGUAUAGAUUUAUUUUGGUUGUGACUAUUUGGAGUUCUAUAUGCUUCAUUGAUCUUGAUAUCAUUUCCAAUCUCAUGUUUGGGGAAUUUUCAGCUAUUACUUCUCUAAAUAUCCCCUUGACAUCCUUUAUGUUGUCCCCUUCUUUUUCAUUUAUCCCUAUCAACCUUAUAUUGUUUCUCUUUGCGUCAUCCUGUAGGUGUUGAAUUGUUAUUUCCUAAUUUCUUGUUAUUUUUAAAAGAUCUUUUCUUUCCUGUUCACUUGUUGCAAUCUUGUCUUUGAGGUCUGAGAUUCUAUCUUCACAUUCAUUGAGGUCGUUUUUACGACUUUCAAUGGAGUUUUUGAUUUCCUGUAUAUCUCUUUGCAUCUGUUUUAUGUAUUCUGUUUGUUUCUGAUAUUGUUCAUCCAGUGAUUCUAUCUUUUUGUUUAGUUCCUCCAAUUUUUUAACUGCAUCUUCUUUAGCUAUGUUUAGCAUCUGCUUCAUUUCUUUUAUCAAUUCUUCUUUGAUCUGAGUGAAUAUUUCUAGUUUGAAUUCCUUUAAGGCUUCCCAUACUUCCUUCUUUAUUUCAGUUACCAUUAUUUCAGUCAUGUGGCAUGUGUUUUCUUCUAUGCACAUGGCUCCUGGGCUUUGUUGGGAUGGGCUGGAUGUUUGAGAUUGCAUUUUGGACUUUUGUCAUUUUCUUUUAUUUGGGAGCUUCAAGUGUUGUUCCAGGUGCAGGAGAGAUCUCCCACCAGCCUGGGAUGGGGUACCCUGCAAUGGCCCCACUCACUGGACCCAGCAGGGACUUCUGGCCUGCUCCUCAGGCCAGGAAGAGUGUCUCCUCAGGCUGGGCAGAGCUCCCAGCUGCCACUGCCACAGUCUCUGAUCUGGCCUGGUCCCUGGUCCGGUGGGGAACCGGCCUGGGUCCCCAGGUCAGGGAAAAAGUUCCCGCAGGUUGGGCAGAGCUCCCAGCUGCUGCUGUUACACUCACCCUUCCAGCCUGGUCUCUGGUCCAGUGGGGAGCCGGCUGGUUCCCAAGUGAGGGAGAAAGUUCCCAUAGGCUGGGCGAAGCUCCCAGCCGCAGCUGCCACAGUCUCUGAUCUGGCCUCUACCUGUUAGUUUUUGACCUGCUCAAAAUAUCUAGAAGAUUUCUGUUUAAUAAUUAUGUAUUUUCAGACAUUAAUGAUUCUGAAAACUAUUUUGUAUUCUUUCUGGAAACUAUAUUGAGAUUCAUAGCCAAAUAUGUUGUUUCAAUUCUGAAUAUACUUUAACAUAACUUCAUAUAAAUUACUUGAGGUACAAAAUGUUUCACAACUUGAUAUUGCAAUAUUCCUGACGUAAAUAAGUGUUGAAUUAUGUAGGUGCACUAAUGAAGGAUAUACAGGAUUAUAAAAAUAAGUUAUUUAACUCUUGUUUUGCUUUUUGAUAACACAUAGAGCCUAUAACUCUAAAGAGCUGUGACUAUAAAAUUAACUAGUGAUAAUUAAUCUUAAAAAUUUUUUACAUUGCUGAAAAGAAUGUGUAUGCAACAUAAAAUACAUGCAUAAAUGAACUACAUACAUAAUACAAUUCAAUAACUAUUCUUAAACUUAAUAUUAUUGAUUCAUUAUGGUAUUGAUAACUAGCAUGAUUUUUGAUAGAGUUAUUUCCAAAAGAUGAAAAAUAUUAACAAAAGAUGAGAAAUAUAAAAUAAAAAGCGGCCUUUAUUCUGAGAACACAGAGAGAGAUGACCGGCAACCCCACCGCUGGCGUCCUGCGAUCUCUCCGACGGACAUGUGGCGUGGGGGCCUGUAAAUAGCCUCGGUUUGGGGUGGAACCUAAGGCGGACAUUAGGGAUACACAGGUAGCCCAUUGGUCCUAGGUUUGGUGCCAUAUGUAAAUUUCCAGGGGCGGGAAGAUGGCGUCACAGGUAACUUCCUAGGGGCAGGGCAAGAUGGGGCUUCCUGCUUCCGGUUGUGGCUUUCCUGGCUACAGUGUCCUGCCUGGGCCAAAACCUUUCAAUUUUCAUGUAUCUUUUCCCUUGCAUGAAAUUCCAUUGGUUUUCUUCUGUCAUGUGUAUAAUCAACUCUGAAUUUUCAUGUUUUUCACUGGAAUACUCUGAGAGGCAGUACAGUUUGCACACAUUUUACAUAUAAUUUACACUUCUAAUUAUAGUCAGAAUCUGAGCUGAUCCUGUUAGAGUAUAUUUUUAAUUCUUGCAAAAAGUAGUAAAUGUGGGUUAAAAAUAGCUAGAGUAAAUAAAAUUUAUGAAUACCAUUAAAUCUGGAAUGUAGCCCAGGAUGAAGACCUCACCUGAUGGAAAGAUUUCAGUUUUGUUCCAUUCUUGAAAUUGUUCAGGAACACUUGAAAAGUAGAAUUAAUUUGCUCUUUGUUAUUUCUUCUUAAAAUGCCUUGCUCAGUCUUUAUUCGUAGUUUGAAUGCAAAAAAAAAAAAAAAAAAAGAAAAAGAAAAAGAAAAACUGACCCCCGUAGAAGCUGCUGUGGGAUCCUUCUGUAUCUCUAUGCAUUUUUCUACUCUUUAGUUAACUUCAAUCCUGACUUUAGGGCCUUUAGAAAAAUGGACUCAAAAAUGAUUAGACACAAUCAAAAGUAGACUUGGAGGAUUAGAAGAUAGAUUUAUAGAAGUAAGCAGAUUUUAAAGUGGCUCAGAGACAUGGAAGAGUACACGUAAAGAUCUAGCAUAUGCCCAGUGAGAAUUCCAGAAAGAAAGAUUACAAAUGAUCAAAGUGAAAUGUCUGAAGAGGUAACAACUAGAAAUUUUCUAGAAAUAAAAAAUGAAAUACGGAAGAUUGACAGACAAAUAUGUAUAACUACAAAGUCAUACUAAUCUAGAUGAUGAUAAUACAGCAAUAUUAAUAUAUACUAAAACUACCUUCAAAGAAAAUGUGUAAUUCCUUAUAAAUAGGUCAUAUUAAAUAAUGAAAGGAUGAAAUUCUUCUGGAUAUAAGUCUGAUAAACUUUACUUUGGUUAAUGCAAUAACUGCCAGUUUUGAAAAAGAAAAGAAAAAAUAAUUAACUAAAAUCACAAGGUUAAAUGAGCGCAAACCCAAUUGCAGUGAGAAAUCUUAUUAUUUUUCAGAAGGAUUACAGUGAAAAUUAGGUGUAUUCAACCAUUGCCAAGAAUCCUAAUGGCACACACCUGUAUGUAUAGACCAACAUUUGAGUGUAUGUAUCUAUCUAUAUCUGCUACAUUAAAAGCUAAAAUAUAUAUUUUCAACCAACUUUAGAAUAUCUACCAAGAUUGAGCAUAUAUAAAGGCACAAAAUCUCAUAUCCAUAGCAGAGAAUCAGUUUAAUUAAGAUCUUGUCUUGGUUCAUUUCCAAUUACUAAUAACAAUGCCGUAGGCUUCCAGGCCAAAGUCUGAAUUGCAAUUGGCUGCAUCUCUUGAUGGUCUUCUUACUGACAGCGUCCCUGAGAAAGUGCAGGGAAUCCCAUGACAGGGGCAUGAGAGAUUUGGUCAAACUAAACUUUAUAGCAUGCCUGCUCUGAAGAUAAGCCAUUAAUCAACUGGAUUUAUUCACCUAUUAGUCUCUUUCAUCCCAUUCGUACUGUGAAAUGCUAAUUACCUCUGAAAGUUCUCAUUCUUACUUUUUAAUAUAUCAUUGUAGAGAUUAAAUUCUAAUAUGAAUUUGAAGGGAAAAAAAACUUAGUAAAGUCAUAGCUGGUCCAUUUCUUUGAUCAUAAUUUGGUAAAAAAAAAAAAAAAGACAUAAGCCAUUUAACGUGAUUUUUGAAAUUCUUUAGGUUUGUCCUCAGAAGUGUUUGCCAGCACCGAAGAAUAGCACUCAUUAUAUAGUUCUUAAUUGAUUGGAUGAUGUCAGGGAAGUACUUCAGGAUGAACAUAGGCACAAGCUGGAAAUGAACAAAACUAGCUUCAGGGAACAAGGUUCACCUUAUUUAGGAAAACAAAGGAUUUUUAUCUCAGAGAGAAAGAGAGAGAGAGAGAGUGAGAAAAAUGAUUUCAGAAUGACUGAAAAGCUAAUGACUCUUGUUUGCACAUUAUAAUAUUUGAGAAUUGUUGGAAGACACACAGCAAGACAGAGAAAGAGAUUUUUAAAUCAGGAACUUUUUUUUCUUAAUGUUAAGUUUCUAGAACAUGGAAAUUCCAGCCACUCUAAAGAAAUUUAAAUUCUGUGGUGUAUAUUAUUAUGGAAUAAAGCAGAUUGCAGGCAGCCAUUGCAAUUAUAUUUUAACUUGUGGUUGAAGAUGACUCUGUAUAUGGUGAAUAUUUAUAAUUUGUGUGAUAACAUAGUCAUAUUUUUAGUGCUUUGGUAGCAAUUAGUUUUUAGCAGGCAUUUAAAAAUUUCAUUGAUAGUUCUUCAUUAAAUCAAAUGUGCUUAUUUACAUGUUUUUGAAAGAAAUCUACCCUAUUUUUACAAAUCUUUGUGUUUUUUAAACUUUGUAUUUUUACAUAUGAUUACUAUCCAGUUUAUAUCAGGCUAACAAUGUGAAAGGAAUAUUUUAUACUGUGCAGACUUGUUUUGCUUCUUAGAGUAAUAUGAUUCAUUAGCAUAAAAUUUUUGUGAGUAUAAUGCAGAAGACACGAACAAAGAGGGGAAUGAACAAUGUAUCUUAAAUGUAUGGUGUGAUGUGCUGAUGACCAUUUUAUAUCAUCUUAUCAUGGUGCAUCUUGGUGUAUUCUACUGCAUUGUCUAGCCCGACGACAGAUAUCAUGGGCACUUCUGGUGGCCUUUGACGUUUAAGAUGCUAAGUGUUAGAACAAUAUUAAACUAAUUCACCUUUUGAACUUACAGUUCCAUUAUUGUUCCCAUAUUUCUUGGCAGGUGGUCUUAAUUUGGCUCAAUGACGUGCAACUUUAGAAUCACAUUUAAAAUAAUUAAUUCAUUCAGUGUUGUAUGAUCCUUUUGAAUCAUGCUUUCUGAUAUUUAUACCAUGCUAUGUAUAUAGAGUAGCUGUGGAAUCUUACACUGAAGAGGAUACUUAGCUUUUUCUUUCUUGGACCGUCACUUGCACUGAGAGGCCGUUCGAAGCAAUGCCUUUUCUGAAAAAAAACAAAUCUCUUCACACAGGACCACUAGAAGACCUCCUUUGUCUCAUCGCUGCUUUUCCUUCACAUCAGGCCUUUCCAUUUGAUAGUUGAAUAACAUUCUGUCUUUCCUGUUAUCUGUCUUCUGUUCCACCCUAAAACAUGAAUGGCAGCUGAGUGAUGGCACGUGCCUAUAAUUUUGGCACCCGUUAGGUGAGGCAAGAGGAUUGUGUAUUCCACAUUCAAAAUAAAAGGUGAAACAGGGUCAUCGUCUACUUCUUUUUUUGUGUUCUAUGACAAAAAUCAUUGAAUAAGGAUGCCGAUUGCUCUCUGGUGUACUUUACUAUUUUUACAUAUACAAGAAUAGGGCAGCUAUUCAGGAUUACCUGGAACACCUUGACUAUAUAAAACUAACAAAGGAAAAGCUAUAUGAUUCUUCCAAUGGACCGUUUCCUCUAUGAAGGGUACUUUUCACUGGUGAUACAUCAUAGGUGUUUAAUGAAUGUUCACUGAGUGAUAAAUGAUGGAAGGAAAUUUUUCUUUUUCAUGCAGAAUGCAUUGAUUAGUAUUAAGCAUACUUGCUUAAGUACCUAUGUGCCCUCUCACACAUGAUCAUUAAAUAUUUCUGAAGCAAAAAAAUCUUGAUCAGAAAGAAUAUUUUGCAGAAACUUCUAAUGUAUGUUUUUGUGUCAGUAGCUUUGUAUUUAUUGCUAAAAUAAAACCAUUCCCUUGCCUGUGAGUAUUGGUGUAAUGUGAUGAUACAUGCCUGAACCUACUUGUACUCAGUGAAUUAUUCAUUUAAUUGAGAAAUUAUAUUUUCCUAGUAUAUAAAAAUGGUCCACAUCGAUUUGGGCAUAAUUUCCAAUAACUGAAUAUGUGGAGGUAUGGUUAUUUAAUACUAAGAGAUACAAACAUAUAAUUUUACUGGGCUUGGACACACAUUGCUUUGAAUGCAAAUAUUUCUUUAUCACUUUAACAAAAUAUGAAAAUAUAUUGAAUGAUUCACAGGAAAGAGGUGAGAUGCUUGCCCGUCACCACAUGAUGAUUCCUUUUUUUAAAAAAAAAGAAAUUCAGCAUUGUUCUAAGAAAGCAGAGUAUUUGAAUAUCCUUCCCCUUCUCAUGUAUUCAUGUUCAGGUUAUACUUAGAAAACUAGAAUUUAGAGUAAAGAAAUUUGAAUUAUUUAGAUUGUAAAAAUAAAUUAACACAUAAAUCGUUUAUAAAGUAUGCUGUACUCAGUCUCAUUAAAGUUUUAAGUAUGAAAGGGAUUAAAUAUGAAGGGGAGUAAGUAAUAAAUAUGUAGAUCUCAUUUCCAGCCAUUCAUUGCGUUUGGAAGAUGCCACUCCACCUAACAUGUUUGACGAUGGAACACUAAUGAUCCAGAACACCAGAGAGUCAGACCAAGGUUCUACCAGUGCAUGGCCAGAAACUUGGCUGGAGAAGCCAAGAUACACAAUGCCAUUCUCAAAUACUCCAGUUCUCCAAGUGAGUUUUUGUUUGUUUCUGGUUGAACUUAAUAUAAGCGCAUCAGUUAUCAAUUAGUAGAAAUUUACAGUAGAAAAUGAUUGAGACUUUUUGUGACUGGCUUUAGGGAAAAUAGAACUAACAUUUUUCCUUUUGAAGUUUAUUUUGUGUAUUGAAAAUAUGGACAUUUUGUCUUAGUUAUUUUCUUGUCACUGUGACACAGUAUCCAACACCUGCAGUUUAUAGGAGGAGAGCUUUAUCUGGGCACAGAGCUUUUGGAGGUUUUAGUCCGUAGUUGGCUGGCUCCUGAGCAGAGCAGUGUGGCAGAGGCCAUUGCAGAGAAGAAAGAGUCCCAUGAGGUUAUGGGGAAGAGAGAGAGGAAUUAGAGGAGGUGGGAGGGUGAGGUGCCUUUCCAGGCUACAUCUCCAGUUCUCCCCCAAUCAGGCUUCAUUUCUCAAAAUCACAUUGGUUGUAAACUAAUCAGUAGACUAAUCUACUGGUGAAUAUCACACACCCAUGAUCCUAGCAGCUCCCAAAAAACUCAUCAAUAAGCACUUGAGGUUUUGGGAGGCAUCUGGAUAUAAACCAUAACACACACAUACACAUACACACAUAUUUUUGGCAGUGUUAGGAAUCGAGCGUAGGACUCCUGCACAGUAUUCAAACACUUCUCACUGACCUACACCUUCAACCCUUUAAUUUCCCGCAUUUGUUCUAUUUUUUCCAGCACUCUACAGGCAUGACUCCAUGACUCCCAGACUGUGUUAUUAUCAGUUUAAUUGCACCUCUAGCUUUCCAGUAUUCUGAAGCAGAGUGGACCUGUUGCACGCAGGCAGCAGUAUUAUCCUUUUCAGAAAUUUAGUCUAUCCGACAUUCAUAUGCCUACAUUAUAAACAUACAUUUGUGCCAGCUGAACUAACAUUGAGAAUCACAUAUCCCUUUACCUCUCAAUAAGCUUUGUUAUAAUUUCAAUGAGUUAUGUAGGAAAUUAUGGUAACUGUGCCUCCCCAUUAAUGUCACUACAAGAUUUGUAAAUAAACUGGGCAUGGUGGCACACUCCUGCAAACACAGCACUCAGGAGGUUAAGGCGGGAGGAUCACUGUGAGUUUAAGGUCAGCCUGAAUCAUAUAGUGAGACUCUGAAACAAAUGAUCAAACAUUUAGAAAUACAUUGUCUCUUGUCUUCGGAGAGUAUAGUCUAUGAGGCAGUAGCCAUAUUUCAGUGAAAUGUUAAGUUUUGGGAUGUGUUAGGAGAGUGGGUGGAAGCGUAGGUCACGGUUUUAUGCUAGAAAAUGUUCCAAAACUGGGUCUGAGGUGUGCAGACCUUUGAUUUGCAGCGUUUGCCCAUUUCUAUAAGACUAAUAAUCCCUCUGGGGCUAAUUUCCAAUCUCCAACAUAGCACUGAAUGUGGAGCCGAAAAGAAAUAUGCAGGAGCUCACUAUGAUGCAGCUUUGCUAUCAUAAGGACAUAAAAAACACAGAUAAUUUCAGGCUCAUAGAUCAUAGAAAAAUGCAGUAAAAUAAUGAGAAGUAAUGAAUUGUAAAAUACAGCUUUGAUGCUGAGAUUUACUUAAUCUUAAGGUUAUGUAAUUUAACUUUCAAUAAUGACUGCUAAAAGUCAAUUUGCAGACGACUGAAAAUUUGCUAACUGGUUGUCAAGAGCUAGGUCUAGCAUAUCACUUAGGAAAGGUGGCAACAGCAGAUAAAUCUGAGACCACUGGACAGUGUUAUUAAUAGCAACAGAGAUAACAAACAAGAUGAAAUGAGAGAGGAAGCAGACUUAGAGAGUCCCGUGCGGUUGAGAAAGGCUUGUCCAGCAAUGGUACAUCUAAGCUGAAAGGAAGGACAAAUAGGAGAUAGAAAGAUAAGUAGAGGCACAAGCAAUGUGUUAGGAGAUAGGAGGCUUAGGGGAGACAGAGAUAGGAGGCUUGGGGAGUACCCAGGGACACCUAGAGCCCCACUGAUUUGGGGAGGCACAAGGUGGCUUGGAUUCUUCAGAGUAUUUAAUACUGACUUAUGUAAGAGUUUCUUCCCGUGAGAUCUCUGACAGCAGUUCACAAAACAAACAGGAGGACUCAGAAUGAUGAGGAAGUCAGCCGGCGACUGUUCCAGUGUGCCAGAGAGCCGGCCACAGCACAGAAAGGCAAAGCUAAUGGGGAAAAUGCAUUGAAUCAAGAUUUACUCUGGCAGGAGAAAGCCUCUGCAUUGGGGUUGACUAAAUAUGGGAUUCCCUUUCCUAGUGUCUCAUGACUUCUUUCUUAUUAUUAGUAUGUUUUAUGAUACUAAUAAUUACCUUCAUUUUGGGGAACGAGUAGCCAUGCUUAUCACACCUUGAUAAUUUUUACUUCUUUUCCACACUUUCCCAUCUGCCUCCUUUCGCAGAUCCCUCUUCCAUCUCUGCAGAGUCCACCUCCAUGGUGCCCAUCAUCCAUCUUUUAUUCUCUUUAAAUUAUAUAUAUUUUGAUUUUCUCAUAUAAGAAAAAUCAUGCAAUAGUUCAUCUUCUGUGUCCGACUUAUUUCACUUAGCAUUAUAGUCUCAAAGUACAUCCACUUUUUAAUGAUGAGUCAGACUUAUCCUUCUUAUGACUGAGUAGUACUUCUUAGAAUUGCAUAUAACUAUCACCUUUUCUUUAUGCAUCCAUGUGUUAGCAGGCCUAUAGGCUGCCUCCAACAUUCAGCCAUUAGGAUUUGUGCUGCUAUAAACAUGGGUGUCAAUGAUAACACGAUAUCUUUAACUUUUUCAGUGUGUUGCCCAGAAGGGCUAUGACUGGGUUUGAACAGAAUUUCCAUUUUUCUGCUUUUUCUUGAGGGAUCUCUAUACUCAUUUCCACAGCGGCUGCCCUAGUGUACAUUGCACCUACAGUAUAGAAAGGUUCUAGUGGUGCAUCCAGGAGCUCCUUCCAAAGCUUCCCUCCUUUCUGCCCCUAGGCAGAGCCUGAUGCUGCCGCUCUGACUUCCAGGACUCCGCAUCCUCUCCCUCCUUUCCUUGAACCCCUAAAUUUUCUCCUGCAUGUGUGUCAGAUUAUCUCCCUCUCUGUUCCCACUAUCACUGUCUUACUUCAAAAACCCUUCUUAUUUCUAUUACAGUAGCUUUCCCUGGGCUGUCCUUUGUCUCCUGGCAGCUUCACCUACAGGAAUUUAUAUCUAUCUCUAAUAAAAUUAUUUUCCAAGUGAGCUGUAUUUUUUUUCCUUUUGGUACCAGGGAUUGAACUCAUGACUGAGCACUUGUCAGGCAGGCACUUAUGCCGCUGAGCUGAGUCCCUGGCAAACUGUAAAUUUUUCCACGUCCGGCGAUUUGUUCUCUGAUCGUGAACAUACAAGGAAGAGAGUGUCUGUUCUUUGACUUUGUAUCUUUCUGAUACUAAAUUUUUUUCUAGUGCACUUAAGGCAUUCGUUUUAUUAGAAAUUGAAUUAAACCUUCAUUAUUGAGUAGAGAAGGCCAAGGGAUUCCAACUUGCCAGAAUACCUUCAGCAGGGAGGCCAAGGAGUCCUGAGACUCACUCCAUUAGCGUGUUAAGCUCUGUAGCAGCCUUUAGUUUCUGCUUGAGAGUCACAUUUUCAAUUAGAAAGAGUGAAGGUCGUUAUAUGGAAUUCCAGAUUUUCUGCUCACUCACUGAAUCAGCUCUCAAUAUAUUCAGGUGAAAGUAGAUGAAAAUUUGGCUCUACACAGCCUAACACCUUGGGUGUGUGUUUGUGUGUGCGUGUAUGUGUUUUCACUGUUUGCAGGGUAGUCUGUGCAGAGCUGCCGCAUGGAUGGCCCCAGUGAUCCAAUGAUAGUUUUCUACUCCUCACUCCUUUGCACAUAAGCCUCUUUUUACCCUGUAAUUGUCACUUGUCACAAAGUUGCUUCUGUAAUCCAAGCGCAUGACUGAGUACCAGGUAACAACAGGAAGGAAAACAGUGACUAGCUAGAUUUAGGCUUAGGAAAGAAAAUGUCUUUUUAGGAUGUGUGCCUAUAUCUCAUUGCCAGAAUUGUGUUUUGUUUUUUUUUUAAAGAUGAGUGUUUAAAAAUGGUGCAAUUACACACUUAGCCAUUAAGUGUAGAUAUUGAUUGAGCACUGUGUAUUGCCUAUAACUCAAUAAUCUUAAGAUGAGAUCUUUUUAAAGGAUAUCUGCAGUUAUAUGAAAUCCACAUUUAAUUUAUUUAGAUUUAAUUCUUUCAUAUUUAAUGUGUAUAUAACAUUUUAGUGUUAAAACAUUUUGAAAAGGACAAUAAUCUUAAAAUCACAAUGCAAAAUAAACAAUUCUUCCUGACUGUUGUUGGCUGUAUUUGGUUUUGUUUCCCUUUCAGUCUUAGCCAAACCCAGCUUUGUAAUCCAGCCCCAGGACACGGAGGUUUUAAUUGGCACCAGUGCAACUCUGGAAUGUGUGGCCACAGGCCACCCUCCUCCACGCCUGACCUGGACAGGAGCAGUGGGGAGUUCCUGGACCCAGCCAGGCGCUCGGUAACUCCGAGUGGACUUCAUUUGCAGAACAUCCCCCUGGGGGAUCGCGGUGGAUUUACCUGUCCUGCCAGCAACAGCCGGGCUCUGCUCGAGCCACAGCAAACAUAAUUGUACAAGGUGUGGGAGCAGAAGGUCACGGUGGGAAUGCUUUUCCUGCCACACUCAAAAAAUUAUUUUUCAAGUUAAAAGAAAUAUCACAUAUGUCAGGGGAAGAUAGUUUUAUUUGCCAAGUAUUUUUGGACAUAAUAGAAUUUUCAAGACCAAUCUGCUUCAACAUAAAAGUUGAAUUUUUUUUCCACUUCAGCAUUUAUUCAAAUGCCAGGACCAACCAUUAGUAAUAAAAGAUGAAGUCAUUAAUCUGGCAACACACUGUCAAAAGAUAUUUGUGGUUUAGAGUAUUUUACAGAUAAAGGGAAGACACUCCCUCUGUGAAAGGGGAGAGGCAUGACCUCAGUUCAUAAUCAUUUACCAAGCUGUCUGUUCCACAUGGCCUGAGAAUAUGCUGAGGGCUCUCAGCGAUAAUGACCCCAUUCAUAAACUAUCCUACUUUCAGAAACUAAGUAAAUGACAGGCAUGGGUAUGCAAUUAUUAUAUAAGGAAGAUACGUUCUUCCGCUGUAAUUUUGUUCUUAGUUGGAGGCUGUCUUCUACUUUCUGUUUCUCUGAGUGAGUGUGUGUGGGUGUGUGUGUAGCUGAAUAUAUGUAAAUGUCAUGAGCAAGGCCAUUAGUCCCCAUAAGUCCUGUUCUAUCCAUGACUUUUUUUAAAUCAUCAGAUAAUAGUAUAAUAAUUUACAGUUGUCCAUUUAAAAGAUCUCCUGCAACCAUGGAAUAUUUGACUUAAGAAAUUUGCUAUUUUUGAUUUACAUAGGAUGUUAUUCAUCAAAGCACCAGAGCCACAGAAACACUGAAGAAAGUCAGUCUAGCGUUAUCUCUCUGGGCAGCCCAGUGUUGACGGAAGCUCAGCACAGCGAGUCCCUGUUACUUAAGCACAGGACUUUCUCCUGCCUAGGUUUCCUGCAUCACCAAGUGGUUUCUGCAUUGAAUGGCUUGGUGCCAACAUCUUCCACAGAGAUAGAGGAUCAUUCUCUUGUUGCAAUUAGCAUGUCUGAGAAAAUUUGUGUUUUUCUUCUAGAAAUGCUAACAUCAUGAAAACACUUUGCUUGCUCUUAAAAGAAGGUGUAAAAAUGAAAACUUUUCCAAAGUGUUUCGUAACUCCUAAGGGAAAUUACUUUUUAAGGUCCCAAGCAUUAUUUUUAGACUUGUUUCAGUGUGCAGAGAUUGAAAAAUGCUUUAGAAGAAAUAGUGCUUAGUUUCUGUUUUCCUUGCAGUUUUACAUUUAACGCCUUAGAUUUUUAGAAACCUAAGAGCCAACCGAAAUUUGCAUGUUAGCAGUGUUUAUUUCACACUAUGCUGGUCUGGAGCAUUCCAGCUUCAGCACCUAGUUCCUACUUUUUCUGUUUGUCCAUCUGCAUCCACUGAUGUUUAACUAAACCCUGGGAACAUUUGUAGAAGGCUUGCUUCACACAUCACAACACUCCUCAUUUCUUUUUGCCAGUCAAUUUACACUGAAAUCACCAUCUGCUUGUUUUUUGUCACUUGCAACUAUCUACUUGUGUCACUUGUGGAUCUGUGUAUUGAUAUUCUUAAUUAGUCUGGAGAUGCUUCAUUAAUCAUUCCAUUCAUUUUUAAAAUAGACUUCUCUGUUUGCUUACUAUAUAGACUAAAUAUCUUAAGACGUACCCUUUUUGUACAGGGAUGUACCAGGGCUUCUAGCAAUUUUUCUUUAGUUCUUUUAAAGUUUGUUGAAGCCAAGGUCACAGUAUCCACUGGUAACACUAGUUCCCUGGAGUGGUUGGGAAAAUGAUAAAUACGUUACCAAAACAAAAAAAGCUAAAUAGCUUCAAUGAGAGGCAUGAAUCCUAGCCUGCAGUGUUUAGGUGAAAGCCUAUUGUCUUUUAUAGUGUAAACCAAGUGCUUUUUGUCAGCAGAAUCAUGGUCAUGAAUAGCCAGAAGGAAGGAUUUUAAUAGAGUAGCAAAUGCGUCUCAGUGUUUGCUGCUUUAGUGUUGAAAGUGGGAUUCACGGGUGACUUUUCCAUGAAAGAGUCCUGACCGGCCCUCUUCCUUUCCUGCCUGAUCCCUGCAGCCUCCUUACCUGCCUGUGCAAUGGUUAGUUUUUAGGGUUUUUUUCUUUUCUUUUUCUGUCUCUCCUGUUACAUAGAAAUUUCUCAACAUAUUUAGCCAAUGUUAGGAAUCAAUUUAAGCUCCACAGUUAUGUAAUGUUUUGCUUGCAUGUAGAAUAUUAAGAUUUCUUUCCUUUCCUGUUUGCCUCUUUUCCUCUUGCACACGUGACACAAGACUGCUUUUUCCCUCAACUUGGCAAACUGAAGUUUAAUUAUUAAAAAGUUGGAAUCAAAACUUCCGAUAUUAGAACCUUGACUCAAUGUCAUUUAACUACCAACCUACUUUCAUUACACAGCUUUUAUUCUGUCAUAAAUGCGUGUUUUACUGCAGAAAUAUUUUUGUUCUUUUUAAAUCAUUUCUAGUAACUUAGGGAGUUAGUUUAAUGUUCUGGAAAGAACAUCAGGCUGGAGGUUAAGUGACCUAGAUUCUUAUACCAUCCUUGUCACUUAUUAUCUGACUGAGAGGAAUUCAAUUCAGUUUCCUCCAGUCUGAGUCUGUUCACCUAUGGAAUAAGGACCUUGAGACUGCUGGUCUGUGGGAUAGUUUUUGACCUGAGUUUUCUGGAUGUCUAUUACAAAUACCUGGUACACACUCCUGAGGGUCAUCAGGAAUCUGUGUGACUUUGUAAUCAAUCAUAUAUUGUAAGUAUUUAGCCUAGCAUCCUACUUUUUGAAGACUUUCAAAAAGCAUCCUUGUUAUCGGCACAUAGUAUGCAGCUUACAACAAAUAUCUUUUCCAAAUAGUAUUUACUUUUUAUCAUCUUUGUUGUUUUUGAAGAUGCUGAUGGAAACAAGGGGUGCUAGAAAUUGUUCAAAGACCUAAAACACCAGAAAUGAUUUAUUAAGUUACCUGCAAAGUUCUUUUGAAAAUAUCACUACUUAUUGGAGAUUACUGUGUUUUUCUUAAAUGGCCAUAUUGAUUUUUUUCCUAGUAUUCAAAAUGUCAUGAGCAGAAUCCCUUUCUGUAAAUUAUGUGUGAGGCUGUACAUUUUGCACUGUUUAUACAGAAUCAAGUACAAAAGAUCUGAAUCUUGACUUGUGUGACCUUUACAAAAGUUGUAAGAACGUUAAUACUAACGACCAUGCAUUUCUUUCUGAAAUUUGUUUCAAAUAUUGUGUGUGCAAGCUGGGAGAAAAUUAUUUUGCUAGUCAUUCAAAUAUAAUUUGGGGUUUUGAAUAUGUGUAUUUCACCUACCACGUAGAGGGAAGAUUUAAUCAUAUCAGCAGCUCUCAUAAGCUUCUUAUUGGGUGUUGUUUUUCAGCUUUGCAAACCAGGUGUACAUAUAUUUUUGUAAGUAAGCACAAAAAUACACAAAGAACUCCAUGUUUUUAAUAGUUUGAGGAAUCAAACUUUGGAAACAAAUUCUAAUUUCACAGGAUAUUUUUUUCUCUUGGUUUUAAAAGUUACAAAAUAACUUUCUUUCUGGAUGCACUCUGUCUUUCUCUUUAGCUCCACUAUGAUUUACUGAAAGCCUCAGGGAUCAAGCAGUCCUUGGGGGGACAUGCUGUGGAAUUUCUGUGUGAAGCAGAAGGGCAUCCACAUCCAGUAAUUUUCUGGACAAAAGCAGGUAUCAGCACAUUGUCAAGUGAUUGUGCGGAAGAAUGAACACCUUCUUUUUGGGUGAGGAAGAGUACAAAAAUGGUUUAAAGUAAUUAUGAUGGAUCCAACAUGAACAUAAACACAUCAUCCAAACAAGUAAUCUUUAUAUAUAACAUGAUCAUAAUUUUCCUGAUACUUUCAUUUUAGGUGCUAAAAAUGUGGCUUUCUUGAAAUCAUCCUUUCUGAUUUUAAAAGUAAAAUUUUCAGAAAUUUCCAUGCUUUUACAAUUCUUAAAAAAUACCAAAAGCUAGUCUACAGACUAUUUCAAAUUUUUUUUAAAAAAUUGCCUUUUAACUAGAAUUUAAAAAUCUUCCCUUAGUACAGAAUGAAUCAUAAUAAAAAGUGAGACAAUAAGUGAUUUCUCAGCUUGAUAAAGCUCUCAUAAUAAAGCUGCUGUCCUGGAAAAAAUUGGUAGUGGGACAAGGUGGGGGUGGGUACACCAGGGAGCUGGUACUGCCAGGGAGCCUGAGGACUAGAGACCAGGACUCACUAUGGGCUGGAUGACAGCUUGUUUAAGAUUCUUCUGGACUUGGAAAUUCUAAAUUCUAAAUACACACUUAGGUACUAGAUUAAAUUCAAAAUAUACCUGCAUCCUAAAUGUUAUUUACUAAAAUUUUUGGUGUAGUCUUUAAGAAUCUGGUGAAGCACAAUAAUGUAUAAGAAGUAGAUCUGGGAGCCCCAACCAAGUUACAUGUCUGUACUCCUCCAUCCACUAGUGUGACUUUGGCCAAGGUAUUUAACUGUUUUUAACCAGGGACCCCUUUUUGCUGUGCUGAAGAUGAUGCUAUUUCCCACAACAGGAUGAUCUGAAUGUGCGUGUAUUUUCAAACAUUAAGAACAGUAGCUGACACACUCUGUGCCCAUUCAAUAAAGGUUAGCUCUCAUUUUCUCAUUCACAACAAGCCACUGAGUAAGAUACAAGUUUUCACUGAAAUUGCUGAAAGUGACAACCCCAUUUAAUACUGACCACAAGCAAUAAUGUGAUGAGAAGGAUUCCGAGGCUUAGUGUAUGCUCAAGGUCAGAAAGAUGAGGAUCUAAAGUCAUGGGUGUGAAACUAAUCAGCGGGGGUGUCACAAACGCAUCAUACUUAAAAUGUUACCCAGUACUCUGAAAGUUCUGUCACUGUUUAUAUUCCAAAUAUAUAUACAUGUGCAGAUGUUACAGAGGUAUUUGAAAAUUGUGUUUAAUAAUCAGAUCAGUUUUGAAAUGUGAAUUCUAGCUGAGGUUAGUGAGCAAUUCAUUAGGAAGCUACACUCUUCUGGUGGUAAGAGGAGGUACUUCCUAGGAGGAGAGUGGCAGAGGUUGGGGGAAGGUCAAGAGUGGUACUGGAGAUGCAGAGAUGCAAUGAUGGGAGGAGCCAUCGUAGUGCAAAGAUGACAUCAAGGAUGUCCUGAGAGAUGGGUCUCCAUCCUUAGCCAUACAUGCCACAACACUGUGUCCUAUCUUUUCCUCUUUGCAGGAGGGCAAAUCCCUUUGCAGGGUCUGCAUACAGUUCCGUCUUCUGGGACUGAGAAUUAAUCACGCUGCACAGCACCAUCAAGGUCAAUUUGAAUGUCAAGCAGUUAAUCCAUUGGGGGUGAAAAGAGUGUCUGUCCAGCUGACUGCGAAACCCAAAGUCCCAGAUUGGCUGGCUCCAAGGCAGAGACGUCAUCAUGAAAGGUCACGGUUCUCGUAUGAAAACCCUGGAGUGUUUACCCCAGCAGAACUCACUCGGCUGAAGCAGGUGUCACUGGGCCAUGUGCUUUGUGACAACGGUGGCAUAUUCAGCAAGUCCAGGCAGACGUCUUUGUAAGAGCGUGAUACCCACAGGACCUCCUGGGCUGCACUGAGAUCCCGAGGAUGGACUUGGGAGUGUGGCGAGACUGCCUUGAAGGUGAUACAAAAAGCUUGUUGAAAUCAAGGUGAGAACAAACCUCACAGCAGGAGAAAGAGUGCUAACCAGCCCUCAAAUGAAUGUUAAACAGGAUGAAUUCAAAAGGUGAUACAGUCGAUGAGACAAUCUCUACUGAUAACAUCAAUUUCAUAUAAGGUAUAAUUUAUACAUUUCUCUUAACAUUCUGAGGAAGAGUUAUCACUGAAAUACAGAAUUCUUCAUUUAUUUACAAAACAUGAUAUUAUAGGGGAAAAGUUUCAAUGUCAAAAGUAGGUUAUGCAUAAUCAAAGUUUCCUUAAAUUGCUUAAGUUAGGAAAAUGGUCUCUUACUUUUCCAUCAGAUCCAUGCCUGUAGUACAUGUAAAAUAAAACUUGUAAAUACUUAUAACAUUUAGAGUUGCUAAUACUGUCCAAAUAUUGAUAGUUAAUGAUAUUUAGCCUCAAAUACUCUUAUGAGAUGUAAAUUAUUUAGUAAAACAUGGAUAUUUGCCCUCCAAAUUACUAGGGAAAUCCAAUAUGUGGAAGCUAAAAUAAACAUUAUAUGAAAGUACCAUAAAUAAAAUUAGGAGAAACUAUGAAAGCCCAGAGGUAGUUGAUGUUUUAAUGCAUUCAUAAAAUUAUUAACUGUGCUUCAAAGACCCUAUGGCAAAAGCUUGAUCAAUAGCAUGGUGCUACUGGGAAGUGGUAGAAACUUUAGUUGGUGUCCCACUGGAAGGUCUUUAGGCCACUGGGGAGUAUGUGUCCUGGAAGAGGGUUAUGGGGUCCCAAUGUCUUCUUCCUUUCAUUUUCUUAUCAUGAGGUGAGUGGAUUUGGUUUGCCAUGUUCUUCUGCCAUGAUUUUUACCUUGCCGCAGGCCAAAGUGAUGGGACCAAUUAAUCUGGGACAGAUAUUUUUUAUAGUGACAAAAAUCUGACUAACUGAAAAUUAGUACCAAGAAGUGGAAUCAUUGCUGUGACGUCCCUGAUGAUAUGGAAAAGUCUUUGGAACUGGUCAACAAAAGGAAUUAGAAAAUAUUUGGAAAAACAGCAGGAGUUUGGAAUACUGUGAAAGCUCAUAGCUCAGAAGAACAGAAUGCUGAUAGGAAUGUAGAUAGUAAAGGUUGUGCUGUUGAUGCUUCAGAUAGAACUGAAGAUUCUUUUAAGAAUUAAACUAGAAGUCACAUUGUUCUUCCAUGGCAAAGAGUCUGGACACUUUUAUCCAUAUCCUGAGACUUUGUGUGAAGAGGUCAUGGCUUGUUUAACUGGUGGAGAAAAUCUUGAGACAAUACAGCAUUAAGGCUCUGGUAUGGAUAUUACCAAAUGCUUCAAGACAGAUUUACAUAGAGACCUAGUAGCAAGGAUGAGUAUAGCAGAUAUAUUUGCAAAAUAUUUGUUGAGUGUGUCCUGUACUUUCAUGUGUAGGACAUAUACAUUUAUGCAAACACACACACACGCAGACAUACACAUACAUACCACUAUUUUUCUUUGAAGUGAGUCAUACGGAUUUAUCUUCAUCCAUGCUUGCUGUAUGAAUCUUGAAAUACUUAGUUUACUUUUCUCUCAUUGCUGCAACAAAAUAUCUGAUGCCCAAAUUAAAAAGGUAAAGAUUUAUUUAGCUUACAUUUUGUGGAGGUGUCAGUCUAUAUCAGCUGGCUCCAAGGCAGAGUAGCAUGGCACAGGGACAACAGCUCAUGACAGUGGAAGAGAGAAAAAGGAACAAGAGCAAAAAAGGGAAAGAGCCAGCCUCUUUUCCUCCAUAGGCUAUCCACCCUAGGGCAGGUCCUUUAUACCCGUCUCAUCUCCAUUCCCUCUUCUUGCACAGACUGAGGGUGUUUACCUACUGAGUGAGGACCCUCUGCCCCUGGUAAGUUGCUUAGUAAAACUUCUACAUAUCUCAGUUGACACAGUGAAUCAACCAUUGUAACAUCCUAGAGCCUAAAUAGCUAUGCCAUGUCCUCUAUACCAUAGGAUACAAAAUUGCUGAGUCAUUUAGGGAAGCUUCUAAACUUCUUAAAUUGACACACCACACUCUCUCUGCUCUGUUUCAUGCCCCAAGUCAUACGUAGACAGAAAUUUGACCAUGUGUUUGAGUCAGUCUAUAUUUAAGUCGUUUCCUUUUACUUUUAAUACUAAAUAAUGCCAACAUCAUUUCCCAAGUAGCACUAGCCAGAAAUGGGGGAAUUUAUCCUGUUACAGUUUUUUUUUUUCACUCUGUGCUUUAGUGUACAGCUAAGAGGUUGCAAUUUCGAGUUAAACUGUAUGAAUUCAAAUCUCUUUUGUUAAAAAUCCAUAAAACUUUGAACAAAGUAUUAUAAUUUCUUUGUUUUCUUAAGCAGAGGUAAAAAUGGCAAUCAUAUUCAGGUAGAUAAUGUGUACAAAGACCAAGAACAUAACUUAAGAACCCGCAUAUGCAUGAACACAUAGAAAAAUACAUUUCAUGUAUAUGCAUAUUUAUUUAAGAUAUGUAUACAUAGGUAUAAAACCAACACAUCUACCAAAUUAACAUGCUAGUCACAAAUUGUUCCCUUAGGAUCCAGACAUUUAGCAAUCAAGGAUGUUCUACUUAUUUUUGGAAGUAAGUAGGAAUAAACAAACACCAAGCAGAUUUUUUAAAAAAGACCUGUAAAACAGAACAACUGAUCUGUCAUGUUUAAAGAGAGAUACAUGGUCAUCUUUUUGCCCUGGGCUUUUUCUGUGCACAUGUAGCUGCCUAUUAGCCUGUGAUUUCAUACACUACUUUCUGCUCUUGGGUUUUAUGUAUGUGACCUUGUGCAUUCUUUGGAUGCUUUGAAAUAAAUACAUUCUAAAUCUCAUUUUUCCAAAAAGAAAUAAAUAAAUAAGAGACAAUAGAUGAUCAGAUGAUCUGCAGUUUCUUUUGUUGCUUUUUUCCUUUUUUGUGAAGAUUGGAGGGUAACAUAUUUAGUUUACCAAGAAAUGCUCAAUUAAGUUAUAGUGAGCACCGUAAAUUCUUCAGAAUGAAAACCAUGCUUUAUUAAUUUUUUAUUUUCUCAGUGAUUUCUUAUCCAAUAUCUUAAUAAAGUCUUCAUAUUUAUUAACAAAGAAAUGUACUACUUCAAAGUAAAAACAAAAAAAGGUCUCAUUACAUGAGUAACAUUUACUUUUUUACUAAUAUUAUGUAAACAUAUCAAUUUACUCUUUUCUUGUCAUUCAGGUCUGCAAAUAAGUAUGGACUGUGAUUAAUAAUACGGUAUUCAGUUGAGGUAAUAGUGUAACAGUAGGGAAAUAGGCACCUUGGGAAUCCCUUAGUAUAAGGCGUGGUUACAUCGAGACUGUGUCUUCCACAUUGGUACGAGUAACAAGAGAAGCAUCCUAUGAUAUGCCUGUGCUACCAGGUCACUGGUAAGCCACCUAGACAUGGUAUGUGUUUGCUGCCACCCUCCCAACUCUGUUGCUGAAUAUUCUUUGGAAUUUCACAUCUUUCAUGUCACUUGUUGAUUGUCUAGAAUCCUUCACCAAGACUUGUUUUGUUAAAAUCCUUUAGAUUUUGAAAUUAUCUAGUCUUUUUGUCAAAAUUAUAUUUCCAUAAGUCUCUAUUCAAUGAUUGCAAUUGACAAUGAUUGAGUAAACUUUGGUUCUUUGAUUUGUCUUCAGUGAACUGUUUUUGGAUUCUAUAAAACAAGUUUAUUUUACUGAAAAUAGAGACAGAGCAAAAGAUAGAAGUAGAAAUCAAACAAUGAAAACUAAUAGCAACCAUUACUGAUAUUUUAUUUAUAUCGGUUAUUAUUUUUGAGAUAUUUUAUUUUGUGCCCAAAUUGUAUAACACACAAAAUAUUAUUUUUAAUCUAAUUUUUGUACCAUUUGAAAUUCAUUGUGCUAUUCAAAAUUCCAUCCUAAAUGUCAUGUUCAUCUUUGCUUAAUAAUGUACCAUAGGGCAUAUUCCUCUUGAAUGUAAUUUACAUAUGAUAAGGCAAAGAUUUGUUUUUUUACUUCUUCAUUAGGAAUAAUUUGCCAGUAUUACAACACAAAUGGUUGUACUGUCUCUCUGCUAAUUUAUGCUGUCCAGUAUAUCUUCAAGUUGACUGCAUAGAUUGUAGAACCUUUGAAAUUAUUAUCAGAUCCCACUGGGUGUAUUUUUUUCCACUAACUUGAAAGUGUUAGUAUCUGUUUGUGGUACGUAACUAUUACAUUCAUAUUGGAGAACUGGUGCACGUACGUACUGCAUCUUGAUCACUUUUACUCCCUCUCCCUGCUUUCAUCCCUCUGUGGAAAAGGAAGCAUAAAAAAUUUUGUGUUGCAAUUUUACCAUCAGGGAAGUUAGAUUCCUAUAACAUUAUUUGCCAAAGUGCCUUAGUUUUUAGUAUGUUUUCCAUAAAAUAGUAGAGAACAUUUCAUUUUAACAGUUUCAUAUUUGCACAAAAAAUGCUCAUGACUUUUACUGGAGUAAAAAUCACCUGAUAUAGAAUUUACCUUCUCUCCAUUCUGAAAUGCAUGGUACAACAAUGUAAAGUAUGUGAACACUGUAGUUUACUAGAGAGCAUUUAAGAAACAAAUCCUUGGUAGUAGGUGUGAUUGAGACAGUUUGAGGGGCCCCCAAAUGUCCCAACAUCCCACCCACACAGCUUCUGCUUCUUUCUUCAUCAUGUCAAGUAAAUAAAAGGCACCGUGUGAUUCAUGCCUUUGCUGACAUUCUGCACCACUCGCUCUGUGGCUCCUUGACUGUGUGUGGGGAUGGUCUCAUAUCCUGUGUUCUGCUGGGAAAACAGAUUCGGACACGUGCAAAACCAUGCUUCUGAGGCUGUGGGCAUUCAGUGACACUGACCUGACCAAAGGACUCCCUUGCCAUGGCUCUUCUCUCUCUGAUGUUUAUGUGUGUGCACCUCUUUUCCCAUUAUAAGAAUACCAUAGACAGGAAGGUGACAAGUCUUCUCAAAUGAUGUUACUGUGAAUAUUUUUCCCCCUAUAGACUGUAGGAAUAGAGGACAAACCAAAACAUCCACACCAGAAUCUCAAAACAGACAUUCUGCUUGAUACAACUAUCUCAUCAAGAAAGACACGGACUUAAAUGAUUCAAUUAGUGGAUAAACAAGCUGGAGGCAUGCCUGAGGCAGGCAGGAUGCACGGAUGAUAAAGGACUGCAAAGGCAGGACCAAGAGCACUGGAUGCCUGGAUGAGAGGAGAUUGUGUGCAGUGUACCUGUGAGGUCUGAGCUGCCAGAAAUUCCCCAUCAUUGCCAUGCUUUGUUUCUCUAGCCUGUCAGUUUAAAUACAGCUGAAAAUUCAAGAACAGAAAACAACAUCCUCCUUGUGAGUGACCUCUAGGAUAUUUAUAAGAUCGGAAUAGUGUUGUGGGACUUCAAAGCUUCUUACUGUGGACAUAAAUGUAGCUAUAGUCAUAGUAUUUGCAGACAUGAUGAGCUCCUUUUAUUUUUUCACUAACAGGUGAGGGAUCUUAGGGUGUUGAUGCCACUUGACCCAGGUCACACAGGAAACUGAGGCAGAAGGAGGUGGGAUUAUCUCAUUAUUUUUCAGUCAGACCUAUCAAAAAUGUUUCCUGAAAGCAUUUGUAAAUCAACACAGUUUCUAUGGAAAUAUAAAAAUGUGUUAUUAUUUCCAUGCGAAUGAAAAAUAAUUCUUUUUGCUUCCGAGCAGAGAUGAUUUCUACCAGCUCUUUGGAAAUAUGUGAAAUUCCUCCAGAAAUCCAUGCUGCAUAAUAUCACAGACCACAUCAUACAGUUCCGCACUUGCACCUUGCUCUACAUGCUGCACAGUGACACAAAGAGUGGCCAAGUCAUGCAUGGUGCGGAUGUGUGCAUCGGCUCUGUGUCCUAGUCCUGAACUAGUGAAAGGUACCUGUUGUCCGGUUUGCAGAGAUCAAGGAAUGCACGUGGAUGCAAUGGAGAGACAAUGAUAAUAUCUGAUCAAGCCCUUGAGGAGGGUCUUCUCAAGAGAAGCCACUCAGGAUCCACACUUUUCACCUAUAGACAUGUCCUUCAGAUGGGAAACACUGAUUUAAGAGCAAAUCAAUGCAUUUGAACCAUAGACAUACUGAAGAUUUUUUAUGUUUUUGUUUACUAACGAGACCUGAAAUAGUGCAAAACUAGAGACUAUAUAGAGCAUAGCAAUUAUCUUAAGAAAUAGUUCUGAUUGUAAGCCUUAGGUUUUAUAUAUUGCAUGUGGAGAUAAAAAUAUUAUAUACUAUUCUACAAAUAUGAUUGUUGUGGAAAAUAUCUGUCAUGGUUUAUGUUGGUGGCCCCCCAGGCCUCAUGCAUUUGCAUUGUGCAUUUGUGAUUGGUUCACUGUCUAGAGCUUGGAUUGAUGGUGUCAGUGCUACACCCACCUGGGGUGGAGCCAGCAUGCAAUGUAAUGGCGGGAAGAAGGUGUGUCUUGCUCUCUUUUGCCUGUUUCCUCCUUGCUGUUUGCAGCCACCAUGAACUGGGGUCCAGCCAUGCCAGCCUGCCUUGGAGAAAACUGAGUGUGGACUGAAACCUCCAAAAACUGUAAGAAAUAAACCUUUCCUUUCCCAA